UACGUAGGGGGCAAGCGUUGUCCGGAAUCAUUGGGCGUAAAGAGCGUGUAGGCGGCCCGGUAAGUCCGCUGUGAAAGUCGAGGGCUCAACCCUCGAAUGCCGGCGGAUACUGUCGGGCUUGAGUCCGGAAGAGGCGAGUGGAAUUCCUGGUGUAGCGGUGAAAUGCGCAGAUAUCAGGAGGAACACCUACGGCGAAGGCAGCUCGCUGGGACGGUACUGACGCUGAGACGCGAAAGCGUGGGGAGCAAACAGG
rnacentral:rRNA from 1 species